UUUACCUUUAGUGGCUCAGUGACAGGGCGCAUGCUUCAGAUGCAUGAAGUCCCAGGAUCAAUCCUUGUCCUCUCCAGGUAAAG